GUAGUAAAAAGUAUAAUCAUUCGCUGACUAAGGCACUCCGAGGUUACUCAACCUAAUUAACGAGACCACGGCCCACUCAGUGCUCUCGGACGUCCCUUUGACGCGGUUACGGCCGCCCCUUGGCAGCUGGAAAGGUUCACAACUAUAAAUACUAAGAGAAAGAACUCCAAAAGGGGGGCUGCUUCUUCUUCUUCCCCACAUCUACUUCUAAGAGAAGAGAAUAUACAUCAUUGUAAGGCUCUGAACCUCUCCAUGGAGNNNNNNNNNNNNNNNNNNNNNNNNNNNNNNNNNNNNNNNNNNNNNNNNNNNNNNNNNNNNNNNNNNNNNNNNNNNNNNNNNNNNNNNNNNNNNNNNNNNNNNNNNNNNNNNNNNNNNNNNNNNNNNNNNNNNNNNNNNNNNNNNNNNNNNNNNNNNNNNNNNNNNNNNNNNNNNNNNNNNNNNNNNNNNCCCCCCCCCCCCCUUUUAACCAAUAACUAUUGUCUCUUAUGUUUUAUUCAUUUGGUCUGUUGAUUUAUUACGAUUAUGAGAACUUUGAGCUAAACAAUUAGGCGCCUUCUGUGGGGAUUUUAUAGCAGAAUCGCCUAUCGUUAGACCAAAAAAGGAAAGGAAACAACCUAAGUCGAACAAGCCAAAACGGCAUGUCGGACCAAAGGAAGUUAAAAGCCUCGAGACGAGCUUGCUUCCAAUCCCCGCGUCUCCAAGCAAGAGGAAGAAGAGGAAGAAGAGGAAGAAGAAGAAGUAGAUCCCCCAACCCCAUGGGAAAACGCGCAUAAGGUACCUCACCCUUUUUUCACACACCCCGCGUCUCCGAGCAAGAGGAAGAAGAGAAGAAGUAGUAGAUCCCCAAUCCCCACAGUAAAACGGCAUAAGGUACCUCCCCCCCUUUUUCACACGAGACCGUGCCAAAAGGGAGAAAAGCUCAAAAGCAUCUCGAACCGAGAUCUGUAACGGGGUAAUCUGUGUGAACCAGUCGAGAAGACUACAAGCACGAGUUAGACAAGACCCGAAACCAGAAACAAAUCCCAACGCCCAGCACAAAGCAGGUUGUGAGGGAAAACCAAAAGGUUCAACUACGGUUGAACGGCAGUUCAGGCUACGUGCCUUCACCCAAAGGUUCAACUACGGUUGAACUGGGACUCAGGCUAUGUGCCUUCAACUUCAGAAAAUUACAAAGGUUCAACUAUGGUUGAACGGUAGUUCAGACUACGUGCCUUCACCCAAAGGUUCAACUACGGUUGAACUGGGACUCAGGCUAUGCGCCUUCGACUUCAGAAAUUACAAAGGUUCAACUACGCUUGAACAGGGACUCGGGCUAUGCGCCUUCGACUUCAGAAAUUACAAAGGUUCAACUAUGGUUGAACUAGGACUCAGGUUAUGUGCCUUCAACUUCAAAAAAUUACAAAGGUUCAACUAUGGUUGAACGACAGUUCGGACUACGUGCCUUCACCCAAAUGUUCAACUACGGUCGAACUGGGACUCAAGCUAUGUGCCUUCAACUUCAAAAAAUUACAAAGGUUCAACUACGGUUGAACGGCAGUUCAGGCUAUGCGACUUCACCCAAAGUUUCAACUACGGUUGAACUGGGACUCAGGCUAUUUGCCUUCGACUUCAAAAAUUACAAAGGCUCAACUACGGUUGAACAGCAGUUCAGGCUACGUGCCUUCACCCAAAGGUUCAACUACGAUUGAACUGGUACUCAGGCUAUUUUCCUUCGACUUCAAAAAUUACAAAAAAUUCAACUACGGUUGAACAACAACUCAGGCUACAUACCCUCGCCCAAAAAAGUCAACUACAAGUAGAACUAGGAUUCGAGCUACACACCUUCGUCACUAAAGUCACAAACUCAACCACGGACGAAUCAAAGCCAAGUAUAUACGUCCUCGCGACCAUAAGCCGGGCUGCUAUUAGGCAAGGCAGAGCGCCCCCAAAUAUUCAACCGCGGACGAAUUCCAGGUCAGGCCAAGCGCCCCCGCCAUUCAAGUAAGUACGACUGACUCAAAACAAAAGUUCGGCUCAAGACGAACUACAAGGCUGUGCUUUCCAUUACCACGGCUAGUAGUCCAACUGAGACCGAACUGGGACUAAGGUUAUGCGCCGCCAUUGCCCAAACACGGCUACAACCCACUCCCACCAAGUGGAGGAAGGUGAUGACCAAAAACGUCUAUCUAUGGCCAAAGCCAUCUACACCAACUUUCCCUUAAGGCAAGGAAUCAAUUCGACAAUGGUCGAAACCGCCUAACCGGUCGAGACUGCUAACAUGCUCGUUAAAGAAAUUCUAGGGCAACGCCCUCUCAAACGAGCAAAAAAAAGAAACGCACGAAAUCGAUACAAAACAAAAAGGAAGAAAACCACAUAUAUUAACAAUAUUUAAAAGGGGUUACCCCCAAUUACAUUGGUCCACCAUAGAUUGGCCCUCGGCCGCCGGAACCACCACCGGAGCAAUAUCGGAAGGGGAGCUACUUGCCAUUGUCAGUAUAUUAAAAGAAAGUGGACCGAGUUCACCGAAAAAGCAAGAGAAGAUGAAAAUCUAACGAUAAAUGAUGAAGAACGGAGUAACGAAGAAGCGAAAGACGGAUUAAUAUGAGAACAAGAAAGUUAUGUCUCUCAAGAUUUCACUCAAAUGAAUAUCGAAAAAGUAAGAACUGAAGGAUACAACCCCUUAUUUAUAGACGAGGCAUAAAUGACUUUCACGAAUCCCAAAGGCCACCAUUAACUGCCUGACCAACCGCAAAACGGUUCAGGCCUACUAUAACGGGUGUCACACCUCCUUUUUCUGGCCUCGCGAAGGGGCAAGAGAGUUUUCCAAUUAAAGGACAAUAGAAAUGAUAUUAUUUAUUAAAGAUUCAGAGACGCCACUUGGGAGAUUUAUGGUGUCCCAAGUCACCGGUUGAAUCCCGAAUUGAGGAAAAGAAUGACUCUAUAUUACCAUCUGCGUACCAGAAAUCCGGACAAGGAAUUCUGUUAACCUGAGAGAAGGUACUAGGCAUUCCCGAGUUCCGUGGUUCUAGCACGGUCGCUCAACUGUUAUAUUCGACUUAUUUAUUUGAUUUUUAAACAUGUUGUAAGUUAUGUGCAAAUUCUAACUUUUAACCACUUUUAUCAUUAUUAUUAUUAUUAUUAUUAUUAUUAUUAUUAUUAUUAUUAUUAUUAUUAUUAUUAUUAUUAUUAUUAUUAUUAUUAUUAUUAUUAUGUCAUGAUUCUUUUAACCGCUUUUCUUAUUAUUAUUAUUAUUUUAAUAAAGCUAGAAAGCAAAAGCUAAAGUUAAAGCAAAAGUUAAAGUAAAAGUUACAGCAAAAGUUAAAGUUAAAGCAAAAGUUAAAGUUAAAGUAAAAGUUAAAGCAAAAAGGGUGGUAUUAUUUUAAGAGAGAAUUGCAACGUCGCGAAAACGUAUUUCUAACCACGUCAAAACCAGUGUACACGUGAUCGUCGACACAUUCCGACUUCGUUGAGACUUGAAUUUGGGUCACAUCAAUGUACACCCGGGAUUAAGAAAGUAAUGUUAUUAAAAUACGCGUUUAAAGAGUCUUACGCGUUAUUAUUUUGGGGAAGGCCGUGCAAUUAGCUAACGGCACAUCUCGAAGUCUAAGUAUUUUUAAUAUAUACAAUUAUGAGGGGCCCGCAAAUUUGAGUUAUAGUAAGGCAAGGAGAUGUGAAAUAGUUGUGAAAACAAGUACAGCUUAACCGUUGGAAAAUUUCAACAAAUAGCCUACAUCUAUAAUUUUUAACUUAAACUUGUCAUUUAACAAAUUAACCGAAAACAGCUUCUUAAAUAAUUUAGCACUAGGACAUUAUGAGUGACUAUUGUCAUUUAACAAACUCAUGCUUAAAUACUCCAAAUCCCUUAAACUCUAAGAUUAAUCGAAAAUAAAAAUGCAUCUACUACUAUUAGAGAACAAUUAAAUCAAAACAACAGAAGAGCAAAGCAUCAUGAGGCAAAUAGGAAGAAAAUCUUAACACUUAAAUUAUCCAUAACCCAUUACAAACCGACCGCAACCCUAUCCAUAAAUCAAUGGCGGAAGGAAACAAUGUAUACGGCACAUAAUGAUCCUUGUGAGCAAACCAAAACUACUAAGGCAUGUGACAAUGUUACCAAAACCAAUAAUAAUAAUAAUAAUAACAGAUUUGGAAGCACAAAGUAAUAUUAACAAAUAAAGAGAUGAAUUAAAAUUGAACCUUAGUAUUGAAUCUCAGCUUUUGAAGCAAACGAAGCCUAGGCAGCACCUCCAUAAACGCAGACCUCGACGGACGAAAUACGAACCUCGCGGACGAACUCGAACUCUACAAGAAAUUUCGAAUCGUACACGAUCUCAAAUCACCUCACUUUGGAACGAAAAUCAGAAAUGGGGAAGACGACGAAGCGGACUGGUUCGACUGUUGCUGUGGCUGUUCAGCGACGGGAUGCAGACUGGUUUUUCUAAGGGCGGUCGUCGACGAUGGAAGCUGCGACUGAGCUGGUUGGUUUUCCGGCGUGGCUAUGGCGGACUGCUGUAGGGUGGUUGACGGGGUGGUUUGACGUGGAGUGGUCGUGAGGUUGAAGCUGGAGUAUGACUGGGCAGUAGGGACUGUUUGGUCGAAGGGGACGAGGAGGCUAUUUGGAUGGCGGUUUGACGAGCGUGGGUGGCUGGACUGCCGUGAGGCUGCUGCGGGGUGUUCGUUGGUUACGUGAGGUCGACGGAACUAGGCUGUUGGUAGACUGGGGGCGGUGUCGUUGUUGUUUGGUUUUGGAAGAAGGUGAGGGUUUUACUGUUUGGUUUCUCCUCCUUCAAGAAGAUCACUUCCCCCUUUGUGUAGUGUUAUCCUAUGUUUUUAAAGUCUCCCCUCCCCUAUGUUAUUUUAAUGUCUUAUCUACAAAAAAUCUGACCAAGACCCUCAAAUGGGUCUCACGUGGGGUUAUGAGGUGAGAAAUUUAAAAAUAGUUUGAUUUAUAAUCGGUUGUUGAAAAAUAGUCAAGUUUUAAAAGUUACUGAAAUUUAGCCGCUUUUUAUGUAAAGAUAAAUUUGAGCGAAAACACUGUUAAAAAUCUAGAAAAAAUACUCCGGUAUAUUAUACUGGAGUUCCGAAGUAUGCUUGAACUCCAGCAUAUUAUACUGGAGUUCCAGGAUAGUAUGCUGGAACUCCAGCAUAAUAUGAUGGAGUUUCAGCGUAAGUACACUAGAACUCCAGCAAAAUAUACUGGAGUUCUUGCAAGUAUAAUUGUCCAGUAUAAUAUACUGGAGUUUGGAGCACUGGUGCUCUAGUCUCCCGUAAAUUUUACGGGAGUUCCAACAAGUAUAAUUGUCCAGUAUAAUAUACUGGAGUUUGGAGCACUGGUGAUCCAGUCUCCCUUAAAUUUUACAUGAGUUAGCAAAGUAUACCGGUCAAGUAUAAUAUGCUUGAGUUCGUACACAAAUGCACCAGAACUCCCGUAUAUUAUACUGGAUCGCUCCCUGUGCAGCAAAAUAGUGGCUAUUUUUUAUUGACUUGGUAAACAUUGGCUAUUUUUCAUUGACCAGCGUAAAAAUUGGCUAUACCAUGAUAUUAUGCCGGCUAUGAGUGAUGAGUUUCAUGGGUCUCCCGUGGGGUCCAUCCGUGUUCUUCAAUUUGAGCAAAAUUUAUCUUCCAUGGUCUUGUGUAAGGUGUGGUGAGUUUGGAUUUUUAUGGGCCAGGUCUGAAUUUUAAGCCUAAAAAUAGGUCGUUUGAACCCAAAAAUUAUUCUUUGCCCGGAACUGAAAAUAAAAUACGGUUUUAUUUAAUUAAUCAUACAUAAGAAAAAUAACUAUCAAAAUAAGACUAACAAUUAAAACAAAACUAUUUUUGAUAUUUUUCAAGAUUUAAAAUAACUACAAAAAUAAAACUAUUUUUUGAAAAUUUUGUUUUUAUAUAAAGGUAAAAUAUAAAGUACUAUUUUUGGUAUUUUUUUAGUUUAUGAGAAAUACAUAAACUGAACUUCAUAUGCCUUUUUUUUUGUUGUAAUUUUUCCAUUUUGUGACAAAAUAAUGUAAAAAUAGUCAAAACUAGCUAAAUUAGAACUAAACUAAAUAUUUUACGCUAAAAAUAUAAAAAAUCUCGGUGAGGGUCAAAAAUCACACGUCUACAAUGGACAUCAUUAUGACAGACACCACGGAACGGUCAUUCAACUAUUAAUCGGCAUGUCGCCCGUGAAAUGGUCGUAAUGUCCCCAAGACACUUAAGUACGCUCCAUGCAUCACUAAGCGUAUGACGCCUUCCCUAUGUGCGGCAAGCCAGAUCGUAUCCCUGUCAAACGUGUGUAAUCGGCUACGGCUGUCUCUAGAUCAAUAGUGGCUACGACCAUCUUCAAAAUAAUCAGAUCACGGCCGCCUCCCAAAGUAAUAUUGAUUACAUCCAUCUCUGAAGCAGCAACGACCACUGUCGUAUCUUGAAUACGGAAUGAUUACGGCCACCCCCUUAGUAAGGGCAGCUACGGUUAUCUCCGUCUCGUAAGGAUAAAGUGAUUACGACCUCCAGCCCCAAAAAGAGUACAUACAAACAAAAGGUCACGGCCAUUUCAGAUAUGCGAACGGCAAUGGCCAGUUGCUCGUACAAAAUCCAACCAAAGAAUUUCGACCAUGGUCGUUGAUUGUAAAAUGACUUAACAAACAGCUCCAUUGCAGUCAAGGAUUGUCCGCGCAAAAUGGCUACGGCCAUCUCCAAAGUAUAAUUGGCUACGACCAUCUCCAAAGUAUAAUUGGCUAUGGCCAUCUCCAAAGUAUAAAUGGCUACGACCAUCUCCAAAAACGGCUACGGCCAUCUUCAAGGAAAGACUGGCUACGGCCGUCUCCAAAGCAUAGACGGCUACAGCUAUCGGCAAUGUCCGCUCAUCGAGCUCGAUCGGAUCCCGACCUCAAUAAGCAGAGGGACUACCUUUAUGGGUAAGAAUUAGAUCCGUGGUAACUAGCGCGUCUAACUAUCUCUUAAGCUUGUUCGGGCUAAUAAAAGGUAUAAUCAUUCGCUGACUAAGGCACUCCGAGGUUACUCAACCUAAUUAACGAGAUCACGGCCCACUCAGUGCUCUCGGACGUCCCUUCGACGCGGUUAAGGCCACCCCUUGCCAGCUGGAAAGGUUCACAACUAUAAAUACGAAGAGAAAGAACUCCAAAGGGGGGCUGCUUCUUCUUCUUCCCCACAUCUACUUCUAAGAGAAGAGAAUAUACAUCAUUUUAAGGCUCUGAACCUCUCCAUGGAGAGGCAGACCAA
rnacentral:lncRNA from 1 species